rnacentral:rRNA from 1 species
GACAGAGGGUGCAAACGUUGCUCGGAAUCACUGGGCGUAAAGGGCGUGUAGGCGGGACAGUAAGUCGGGCGUGAAAUCCCUGGGCUCAACCCAGGAACUGCACUCGAAACUACUAUUCUUGAGUGUCGGAGAGGAAAGCGGAAUUCCUGGCGUAGAGGUGAAAUUCGUAGAUAUCAGGAGGAACACCAGUGGCGAAGGCGGCUUUCUGGAC